UUCAGAACAGAGCACUUGCCUUGUUCUUACACAGCUCGGCUGCCUAUGCCUAUGUGCAGAGGAGACAGCGGGAAGCAGAAGGGAGAGCACUUGGAGGAGAAAAGGAAACUUGAUGUUCAGUGCGGCAUUUUGGAAAUAAGCUUGGCUGAUUCAGAAGAAAAUAAGACAUAAUCCCUGCAGCAAAGUCAUAAAAUCCUAUCAUAGAAUUGUGCAAGGCUGGAAGGCCUUGGCUUCACCCGCAGUUUCCAGCUGAGACCUGAGCAGGUGACCUUGUGCUUUACCCUUAUUGAUGCAACACCUGUGGUGACAGAUGGUUUGGAGCCCUCGAUGUUCCAACUGCCACGUAGGGCAGUACGCGGCAUGCAAGGCUGGGCUACAGCAGCCAGCAGACUUCAGCCAUCAUUACCCUCUUUUGUCACCUGCACUGGAGGUGCUCCGAGACAGGGAAGCCCCCAUUCUGCCUUGUAUGGCUCCGGACAUCCAUUGUUAAUGCGCUGCGGAUAUAUGAGAUGACAACAGCUUUUAACUAUUUAGAAUAUAGAUUCGGUUCUGUCAGUCAAGCAGCUCCUCAGGAAGAAUAAAAAGAAUGACUCAAAUAUAGAAAUUCAAACCCUAG
ensembl:lncRNA